rnacentral:lncRNA from 1 species
AUAUCUCUCUAAUGAGUCUAGUCAAGGUACUAAUGUAUCUUCUGCUAGGAUUAGACCAAGUAUUAAAGUACCUCUUCUUUAAUAUAUCUUUGCUAUUUUAUUUAUAAGUUCAUUUGUGUUUAUUAUUUUUACUAGCUUUAUUUGCUCAUAGUUGCACGUUUUGAUAAUAUGGAUUUAGGAAUCCUAAGUGAUUCAUUUAAAACACCUCUUAGAAUUAAUUAGAAUUAUGAUUUGCGUUAUUUUAUUUAAGG